rnacentral:lncRNA from 1 species
UAGUCACCCUGCCUGCCCAAGAUCAUGACAGCUAUCUUGAUAGCCAACUUCCUUCCUUGAUGUCUUUGAUGAAGCUAGCUGCCAUGUUGUGACUACCCCAUGAAGCGGGUCAAUUGACAAGGAAUUGAGGGUUGGUUUCCACCCAAAAGCCAACAAGAAACUGAGGCCCUCAGUCCUACAACCCAUAGAGAAUUGAAUUCUGCCAACAACCGUGGAAGCAGAUCUUUUCUCAGUCAAACCUUGGGAUGAGACCACAACUCUGGGUGGCACCUUGAUUGCAGCCUUGUGAGAGAUCCUGAAGCAGAGGACCAAGAUAAGCUGUGCCUAGACUCCUGACUUACAGAAACUAUGAGACAGUAAAUGUGUUUUUUU